rnacentral:lncRNA from 1 species
CUGGUUAUCUGGAGAGGUCCCAGAGGAUUGGAGGCUUGUCGAUGCGACUCCCAUCUACAAGAAGGGCUGUAAGAAGGAUCUGGGGAACUACAGGCCGGUCAGCCUGACCUCAGUACCAGGGAAAGCCACUGUUGGUGAGGCAAAGAAAAGUCAUGCCUGAGAAUCUUCCUCCUCUCUCCAGGUAGAGGAGUAGAAAUGAAUUUUGGGAAGAAAAUGACAACAACAACAAAAAUC